UCACUUUGGUAGCACAUAUACCCCAAUUGGAAGGAUACGAAGAAGAUCAGCAUGGCCCCUGUGCAAGGAUGACAUGCAAAUUCAUGAAGUGUUCCAUAUUUUA
rnacentral:snRNA from 1 species